rnacentral:rRNA from 1 species
CCUACGGGAGGCUGCAGUAGGGAAUAUUGCUCCAUGGGGGAAACCCUGAAGCAGCAACGCCGCGUGGAGGAUGAAGGUUUUCGGAUUGUAAACUCCUUUUGUUAGAGAAGAUAAUGACGGUAUCUAACGAAUAAGCACCGGCUAACUCCGUGCCAGCAGCCGCGGUACUACGGAGGGUGCAAGCGUUACUCGGAAUCACUGGGCGUAAAGAGCGCGUAGGCGGGAUAGCAAGUCAGAUGUGAAAUCGUAUGGCUUAACCAUAGAACUGCAUUUGAAACUGUUAUUCUAGAGUAUGGGAGAGGUAGGUGGAAUUCUUGGUGUAGGGGUAAGAUCCGUAGAGAUCAAGAGGAAUACUCAUUGCGAAGGCGACCUGCUAGAACAUAACUGACGCUGAUGCGCGAAAGCGUGGGGAGCAAACAGGAUUAGAUACCCCUGUAGUC